rfam:Ophiophagus hannah scaffold2122.1, whole genome shotgun sequence.
UCCAAGGCUCUUUUCAGAGCCGCUCACCAAGUCACAAAAGAGCUAG